rnacentral:lncRNA from 1 species
ACAAGAAAUAAACAUCCAUGAGUGUUGAUUAAAAGAGAAACAAAACCUAGUUAAACAUAAAGAGAAACAUCCUAGCUCUGCUGCAAUUUAGUGAAAAACAUUUGUACCUGAACUCCAUCCCAGAGCUUUUUAAGCUUGCUAUGACUCAUGCAAAGAUAUACAAGCAUUUCAGCACAAAAGGUUGAUGGCAAAGACUCAAGACAGUAUCUUACCCAUAGAAGAUACCUCAAUUUAUCAGAAAUCCACUCAAGACCGUCAGGAAAGUACACAUUGCCUGUGCUCCCAUCAGAAUCAUUACAGAUAUGAAGAUAUCUUAAAUUUGUCAUCCUUCUAAAGGAAUCAGACUUCAAGUAAAUAUCCCCAACAUUUGUACUAUGGAACCUUAUACCUUCCACAACUUCAGUUCCCUGACAAAUAAAAAUUAGAUUAAUAAUUAGGAAAGGCUGUCAUGUGUACUUUCCUCGUUAUAUUUUAUAAUCACAUACAUGUUUUUUCGUAUAGAAAUGAUUGCAUUCUCUAGUUACCUUGUUUUCUUUUAAUAUAUCAGAUAUUUCUUCAGCUCUCCAUAACCGACUUCGUUUUCCAGGAUCUUUAGACUCUUGAUUAACAAUCUCCCGUCCCAUUUCUUGUAACAAAUCAUGCAUAUCUAAACCAUCAGUUUCCAAUUUGGCCAACGAGUGCCAAUUUGAUUUUAUUUGUAUGAAAGCUUUAUCUAGAAGGACUUCUAUCCCACUUUCUGCAAAGAACUCACAAGCUUCCAAGAAAUGUAUCACAAACAUUUUAUUCUCUCCUCUCAACAAGCAUGCGAUAUCUAGAAAUAUGUCCUUUUGAAAAAUAUCUAAGUUAUCAUAACUCAAUUUUAACAUAUUGUUAAUUUCCCCAUUUGGAAUCCUUUCGAGCUUUUUCAAUUCAUCUUCCCAUACUUUUUUGCCUCUUGAACGGAGAUUUUUACCUAAAACUUUUAAAGCCAAAGGGUUGCCUCUGCAAUAGGCAAUUACACUUUCCGAUAGAUCUUCAUAUCCAAUUUUAGGCUGUUUUUCUCCGAAGGCAAACAAACUGAAUAGUUGAAGAGAAUCAUGUUUGUUCAAUUCAUUAAACUCAUAUAUUUCACAAUUACUCAACUGACUUAGUAUGUGCUUAUCUCUAGUUGUAAUAAUGACCCUACUACCCAAUCCCAACCCAUAAAUUAUUAGGAUAAGAUCAUCUAAUUAAUCUAAGGUAUCCAAACCAUCCAACACAAUAAAAACUUUUUUAAGUGCAAUCCUUCUCACGGAGAAAGAGGAUUCUAUGUAGGAUGCAUCGGGAUGAAUUUUUUCUUCCUCUAACAAUGAAGACAAAAGUUUAUUGUGUAGACCAUUGACUCCAUACUUGUUUGAUUCAUCCAUUACAUAGUGGAAGCAAAGAACUUCAAAUUGGGAAUAAAGUUUACCAAAUAAAGUCCUAGCAAUGGUGGUCUUUCCUAUGCCACCCAUGCCCCAUAUUCCAAUGAUUAUAACAUCAUUUGACCCAAUUUCCAUCAUUGAUUCAAUUUGUUCGUAAUUUUUCUCAAUUCCAACAAGCCCAUUAAUAUCAUAUGGGUAUCUAGGAUUCAGUUUCCGCAAAACAUCUUCAACAAUGGCUUUAAUGAAGUCUGAGUCACUCCUAACAUAUGAAAGAGGGGAAGAAGGUUUAACAUGUCUACUAAAUACAAUAAAUAAACAUCUAUAUGAUUAGAAAUAUAUACAAAAUUUAUAGUCAACAUGAUGGUAGUGGCGUAGUAGAGCAAAAAAAGAAGCAAAAAUGAGAUUCGAGGAAAUGAAAUACCAAACACACAGUGCAAUUAAAGUCUAUUUUUUCUAGGAAGUGAAAUCCUAAAGAAAAUUAUAAAAAAAUAAAAGUUUUAUGAUACUCGAAGCAUGUGUUGCUACUAUUAAGAUUUUAGUGAUACAAAUAGAAUCAGCCAAAUCGAAGUAAAAAAAAUUGUGAGAUAGUGUAUGAUGACUUUGAUAGUUUUGAGAAGGUCAUCAACUAUGGCCAGGCACAUCAAUGUCAUUGUUCACUUCUCGAAAUAAUUUGGCCUGGUUUACUUUCUAAAAUUAUAUUUCGUCUUCAAUUUCUAAAAUUUAUGUUCAUUUCCAACUACAAAUAUGGAGAUGAAAGACUUAUGAAGUAAACAAUUGUGCUAUAUUAGAAACAAAACAUUCAAAUGAUAGGAAAUAGUUUAUUGAUUUUACUUACCUAUAAUUUCGAGAGUCCCAACCAACUAAAUUAGCUGCAUCAGUGAGAGCAGCUUUCCAUUUCUCCAACUUAUCGUUAUUGUGCUUCAAAUUUCGCUUAUGUUUUGCAAAGGCUUGCUUGUAACUCCCGGUCUGCUUCCUCACAUGUGAUGGAUCUAUGUUGUAAAAAACUGGUAUCACAAUCUGUUCCAUAUAUUUCUUGCAUUCAAGAAUCUUUUUGAGCUCAUUCAAGCACCAUUUUGAGGAAGCAUAGUUUUCUGAGAAGAUGACAAUAGAUGCAUGUGACUCCUCAAUGGCUUUGAUGAGUGCUGCCGAGAUCUCAUCUCCUUUUUGAAGCUCAUUGUUGUCUAUAAAGGUUUCAACUUUCUUUCGGCUCAGAGCGUCGUAAAGAUGGCUAGUGAAGUUUCUGCGAGUAUCCUCACCUCGAAAGCUAAGAAAAACCUCAUAUUUUUUCUUAGGGACCACAUCAGAAGAAGAUACAGAGGAAAAAGCACUGCUCAUUUUCUCCUCGUGACGGUUAUGAAUUCCCAGGGCCUGUACUAAGCCACUAAUCACAAUGCUACAAUAAAAAAAAAAAGUAAUGUUUAUUGUGUUCUUGAUACUUUUGACCACACUCAUUCUCGUUGUAAUUAGAGAAACUAGUUGUUAAAUUAAAAUUAAGAAGAAAAAAGAUCAUACCAAAGUCAGAAUCAAGCUUCAUGCAAGAAGACUUUAAAGUCAUAAAUCCCAACAGUAGUAUGGCUUAGCUUCUGCUGGAAUCAAUUUUAGAUGAAAAUUAAUUAAGGAUAAACACACACAAACACUUCAUAUAGAUGUAAUGAUUCAAAAUUAAAAUAUAAAAUAGUAAGUGUGGUUUCGUGGUUAUCCUUCAAGGAAGUUUCGUGGUUUUAUUUUCAGUUUUUCUUUCUUCCUUUGAAUAGUUUCUUUAAAUAUUCAAAUGUGUACGUCGUGGUGUUCUUCAGAAGGUAUGGCCAUCACAUUAUUCUUUAUAACAACCAUAUAAAAAAAAAAAUGACAUUAUGAAUUUGUCAUCAUGUGUGGUCAGAUCAGAUGCAUAAUGUGUAAGACGCCGGCUGAAUAAAAUAUGGCAACAAGAGAAUAUUUAGACAAACAAUGAUGCACAUAAUAUAGUGUGAAUCUAAUUUCCUAUAUUAAACUAAAUAGUUGUUACAUAAGGUUCCAUUUCUUUCUAUUUGUUUUUUUACCAAUCAAAUUAAGUAACCUUUAAACAAAUAUCAUAUAUAGUUGAACCGUUGAAUCUUGAACCUUAUUCACAUGUUCAAUGGCUGGUCCAAUCAUUUGUUUAAUGGUUGGUCCAAUUUAGAAAAUAUUAAUGAAGACGGCCUGCUUUGAUAAAUUAUUUAUUUAAAAACUUAUUUAUAUCCUUUUUUACUAACAAGGAAUUGAGACGUAACCAAAAAAAAAACAAGGAAUUGAGAUGGCCCUCUUCCGAUCUCAUCCCAACCCCACCAAUGGCCAACUUUAAAGCUAUGUUUGGAUUGGUAGAGAGUGGUGGAAUGGAAUUGAAUGAAGUGGGAUAGAUUCACAUUCUAUUGUUUGGUUUUGUAAAAAAAGGAAUAGAAUGGAAUGUAGUGUAAUGGAACUCAUUGCAUCCAAUACCACCUAUUUAACCAAUUUUCCAGUUCCUCCCAAUUUGGGGUGUAUGCAAUGAAAAAACAACAAUCUUCCUAGUAAAUACUAUAAAACAACAAUCAUCACCAAUGGUGGAAAUUAAUCAACAAAAAUUGAAAAAGACUUCCAUAAAAAUGAGUGCCUCAAAAGUAACCUUCAAAAGAUUCAAUUGAUAAGCAAUAAUCCAGCUUAACAUUGAGCUUCUCAUACGUAGCAUUCCAAUUUAUUAUGUCUGAAUUACAAGCAAUCAGAAGUUGAGGACAAGCCUAUAGAAGCUCAAAUUUUUCUGAAUAAAACCAUACCCUACACCGAAUUAGGGCUCUAUGAAGCCUCUAAUACUCGAAACAAUCGAAGAAGCAUUGGGGCUCUAAGACUAAGAAGGAGAAGAUGAAAAGAAACUAGCUACAAAAUUAAAACAUAUGUUUUCAUUGAUUAAUUACAUUCCUAAAGAUACAACACACUUAUCCCCUCUGUUGAACACCACAAUUGUUCCUUGUGACCUUGAAGUAGAAAUUGAAAUGAUAAGUUGCAAAAAUCAUAAAUUUCACUAUCUUGUCUGUUGUGAACAUGCCAGCAUACCAGUACAUAAUCAGAAAUGAAUGUCCCAAGAUAACUGUCACUAAUACAACGUAUGUCGGCUUCUUUUCCGUUUUCAAAGAUAAUACAGUGAACGGCAUCAGGGGCGGUUCUAAGGCCCGGCGACCCCCGGCUCCGGGCCAAAUUUUUUGUGUAAAUCCCUAUGAAUUUCUUAUAUAAACCCCUAUAAAUUGGGCAAUUUCUUUACAUUUUUUAUUAUUUGCUUGCAAUUUCUUAUGUACGCCCUAUAAAUGUGUUGCAAAAAAAUUUUCCGCCCAGGCUUUACAAUAUUCCUGGCUCCGCCACUGAACGGCAUGGUGGUAAACAUUAAAGCCCUCAGAAAGAAUGAUGGAAAAUAUAAAACUGCACAAAUCAGAUUUUGGAAUAGGAGGAAUAAUUAUUGAAGCCUCUAUUGUCUGAAAAUCAAACAUGCAUGCAAUGGAGUCUUCAGAGAAGGUUUGUAACAUGUUAUUAAAAAAUGACGGUUGAAUGGAGUAUGUGUCCAGAUAACUGCAAUUAACGGCAGGGAUGGUGGAAGCUCUGUUAGAGACACAAUUUUCCUGCAAUCAUCUAAAUCAAGCCAUUCCCAACAUUGAAUGGUUUUGGAUAUUGUCGGGGAGAACAUCUAAGUUGCAACACUCUUUCAAUUUUAGCCGUUUUAAAGACUAUAUACCAUCGAGGAUGGACCACAGACUUAAUGCAUCGAUUUCUGUGCACCCUGAAAGGUCUAGUUCGGUAACAAACCCAAGCCCAUGAUCAUCUGAUAACUUCUUCCCAACAGUGUUGAGCUUGUUACACUCAGUUAGACCAAGAGAAGUAAGUUUGCAAUUACGCCAAAUCGAUAAAGAUAAUUCACGUAUAGCAGUGCCAUGUAAGGAUAACUCUGUCAUUUCCUCUGAUGUCACCGAAAAUUCCAUGAGGGAUGAACAACCAUCAACUAAGAGAGAUUUUGAAUGAAAAUUGGUUUUUAGGCUAUGACUCAUGCAAAUCUCUACAAGCAUUUCAGCACAAAAGGUUGAUGGCAAAGAUUCAAGACAGUAUCCAUCCCAUCGAAGGUACCUCAAUUUAUCAGAAAUCCACUCAAGACCAUCGGGAAAGUACACAUUGCAUGUGCUCCCAUCAGAUAUAUUAUAGAUUUUAAGAUAUCUUAUAUUUUUCAUCCUUCUAAAGGAAUCAGACUUCAAUAAAGAUCCCCAACAUCUGUACAAUGGAACGUUAUACCUUCCACAGCUUCAGUUCCCUAAUAAAAACAUUUUUUUUUAAUAAUUAGGAAUGGUUCCCUGAUGAACUUUCCUUGUUAUAUUUCCCUGACGCAUUUUUGUUAUAAUUAGGAAUUGCAAACUCUAUUACCUUGUUGUUUUUCAAUAAUUCAGAUAUUUCUUCAGCCCUCCACAAUCUACUUCUUUUCCCAGGGUCUUUAGAUUCUUGAUUAACAAUCUCCCGACCCAUUUCUUGUAACAAAACAUGCAUUUCUAUUGUAUCAACAUCCAGAUUUACAUGCCAAAUAAGUUUUAGUUCUAUGAGAGCUUUAUCUAGAAGGACUUCUAUCCCAAUUGUUGCAAAGAAUCGACAAGCUUCCAAUACAUGUUUUACAAAAUCUUUAUGCUCUUCUCUCAACAAGCAUGCGAUAUCUAGAAAUAUGGCCUUUUGACAACAAUCUAAGUCAUCAUAACUCAAUUUUAACACAUUAAAAAUUUUCCUAUUGGGAAUCUUUUGGAGCAUUUUCAAUUCAUUGUCCCAUGCUUCCUUGCUUCUUGAACUCGGAUUUGCACCUAAAACUUUUAUAGCCAGAGGAUUGCCUUUGCAAUAGGCAAUUACACUCUCUGAUAGAUCUUCAUAUCCAAUUUUAGGAUGUUUUUCUCCGAAGAUAGUCAAACUCAAUAGUUGAAGAGAAUCAUGUUUGUUCAAUUCCUUAACCUCACAUAUUUGCACAUUUUGUGAAUUGACUAAAUAUGUGUUUAUAUCUAGUUGUAAUAAUGACCCCACUACCCGGUGCCAGUCCAUCAAUUUUUAGCAUAAGAUCUUCUAUUUGCUCUACAGUUUCUCUACACUAUCCAGCACAAUGUAAAAUUCUUUACGUGCAAUCCUUCUCACAGAGAAAGGGGUUUCUACGUGCAAUAAUUCUCACUCUGUUUUUUUAUUUUUUUAUUUUUUUUUCUUCUUUCUAAUCCUUUGAAUAUCUCCAGGUUCUUACUUUAUUGAAGGAAAUGUAACAUGAAGAAAAUAUAAGGAAAUGUAACAUGAAGCAAAAUUUGAGGAAAGAAAAGUUAGGCCUCAUCCUCAAGUAGUAGGAAUGUAGUCCAAUUUUGAUGGCAAAUUACACCCUAUUUCCAUUAACUUUUCAUCGGUAAGAACCAUGUCAUGGACGAGUCUUCAGAUAAGCAGAGACUUUGAGGGAGGAAUAUCUUUGCUCCAAAGUAGGAGCAAUGUGUUUUUUAAAAGAAUAAGUAUCUUUUAAAAGCUAAAUUUCCAUCAGAGGUUCUUUUCCAAAUCAAAGAAUCUUCACAGUCUUCAUCAGGAAUAGUUGCAGCACAAGCAAGCUAAUAGUAGGGAACAUCAACAGGACAUCACGAAGAAUGUUCCAGUGAAAAUUGGUGAAAUAGUAUUAGUCAGACACUUUUGAAGGGAAAGUGUUGAUAAAUAUAUUUUUCCUUAUAAAUAUAAAAAUAAAUAUUUGUCACCGAUACAAUAAAAAAAAUACACAAGACAAAUAUUCAUAAAAAAUUGGAUUAUUAUUUUUCAUUGAUAAACAAUCUAUGACACAAGAUAUAAACGGAGAAAUAAUUGUCACUAUUAAGCAGUAGUAAUUGACACAAGAUAUAAAUACUUUCAUGUACUUGAAGCUGCUCAUUCUAACCAAGGAAUUUCACUACUUCAACACCAAUGUUGCUCAGAUUUGUUUGCAAACUCAUGCUUACUUUGCUCAGAACCCUUCUCAACAUCCUCUGACCCCUCCAUGAAGUUACAGAAGCAUCAUAGCUCGAUAUCAAACAGUCUAAUGCAUAAACAGAUAUUGCGAUGAAGUAUUGUGCGAGAAACAAUGAGACAGAAAACGUUUCUGACUAUUAUAAUUCUUUGGACCCUCGAUAAAAUACAGCCGGUCAUUAUUUUCUAGAAUCAUGAGAAUUUUAAAACAAUUCUUCAAUUGAAGGAUUUAAAUCUUUUAAUAAAAUAAGCUAAGGUGGAAGGUAUGAUUGAAAAAGUGGAAAUUAUAUAGUGCUACAAUCAAAAUAAUUAACGGCUACUAACUAGCAUAACCUCUAGGAAUUAGAAAGCUUCUGCCUUGUUUAAAGAUACAAACAUACAAUUACACAGACUUGGGUCUAAUUACUUGGCGCCUGCGUCUAACAGAAGGUUGUUCCUCUACUUUGUAAGAAUAAGAAGGUUGUUCCUGAUCAUCUUCAUUUUCAUUGUUAUAGCUUCUGCCUUCACCUCCAAUUGCUAUAGACACAUAAGAGUCUUGAGCAAUGGAUUUUAACUUACCAAUUUCCUUACUAAUGCUACUACCCCAAUAUUCCCAUACAGGUAAGACCCCACACCCCUUUAUCCCCUCCUUUGACCACCGUAAUUCUUCAUUGGGACCUUGAAGUAUGAAUUGAAAUGAUAAGUUGCAAAUAUCAUAACUUCCAUUUUCUUGUCUGUUGUAACCAUGCCAACAUAUCAAUGCAUGAUCUGAAAUUAAUGUCCCAAAAUAAUUGUGACUAAUGCGACGUCUGUUGACUUCUUUUCCGCGUUCAAAAAUAAUACAAUGAAGGGCAUGGUGGUUAAUAGUGAAGCCCUCAGAAAAAAGGAUGCGAAAUAUGAAACCACAUAAGACAGAUUUUUUAAUAGGAAGAAUAGUUAUUGAAGCCUCGAUUGUCUGAAAAUCAAAAAUUAUUGGAUCUUGUGCUCCUGGCAGGAAAGAGAAAGCAUUUAUCACACCUUCUUCAAUAGAAGGGUCUUCAAAGAUCUUUCGUACCAUGUUUUCAAGCAAUGACCAUUGUGUGGAAUCUGUGUCCAGAUAAGUGCAAUUAACAGCUUUAAAAUAUAACAGGGAUGGCGGAAGCUCUAUCAGAGUCACGAGGUUCCUGCAAUCAUCUAAUUCAAGCCAUUCUAGCAUUGAAUGGUUUUGGAUAUUCUCUGGGAGACUUUCUAAGUUGCAACACUCUUUCAAUUUUAGCUGUUUUAAAGAUUGUAUGCCAUCAAGGAUGGACCACAAACUUAAUGCAUUAAUUUCUGUGCACCCUGAAAGGUCUAGUUCCGUAACAAACCCAAGUCCAUGAUCAUCUGAUAACUUAUUCCCGACAAUGUUAAGCUUGUUACAUCCAGUUAGGUUAAUAACAGUCAUUUUGGUAUUACGCCAAAUUGAUGAAGACAAUUGAUGUAUAUCAGUGCCACAUAAGGAUAACUCUGUCAUUUCCUCCGAUGUCACUGAAAAUUCCAUGAGAGAUGAACAACCAUCAAGUUUAAGGUUUCGGAGAGAAUUUGAAUGAAUAUUGGUUUUAAGGCUUUCGAUCUUUAUGCAACCUCCUAAAUCUAGUACAAUAAGUCGAGGGAGAGAAAAGAUGUAUGGAUGGAGAUGACGCAGGCUUUCACAUUUAUAGAGAUGUACUUUUUCAAGAUUUGUAGCCCUAGAUAAGUUUGGGAUCUCAAUCAGAUCUUUGGAGUAAUUAAGGCUAAAUGUGAUUAGAUUCACAAGAUUCUGUAACAAGAAAUAAACAUGCAUUAGUGUCGAUUAAAAGAGAAACAAAACCUAGUUAAGAAUAAACAGAAGCAUGCCAUACUAACUCUGCUGCAUUUUUGUGAAUGACAUUAGACUUCCUCUUGUACCUCUAUAAAGUUAACAAGUACAUCCAAACAUUUUGUACCUGAACUCCAUCCCAGAGCUUUUUAAGCUUGCUAUGAGUCAUGUGAAGCUCUACAAGCAUUUCAGCACAAAAGUUUGAUGGAAAAGACUCAGGACAAUAUCCCUCCCAUUGAAGGUACCUCAAUUUAUCAGAAAGCCACUCGAGACCAUCAGGAAAAUGUACAUUGCAUAUGCUCCCGUUGGAUAUAUUAUGAAUCUUAAGAUAUCUUAAGUUUGUCAUCCUUCUAAAGGAAUCAGACUUCAAGUAUAGAUCCCCAACUUCCGUACUAUCGAAUAUUAUACCUUCCCCAACUUUAGUUCCCUGACAACGAAAAUUAGAUUAAUAAUUAGGAAAGGCUGUCAUAUGUACUUUCAUUGUUAUAUUUUAUAAUUACAUACAUAUAUUUUCAUAUAUAAGUGAUUGCAUCCUCUGCUUACCUUGUUUUCUUUUAAUAUAUCAGAUAUUUCUUUAGCUCUCCACAACCGACUUCGUUUUCCAGGGUUUAUAGAUUCUUGAUUAACAAUCUCCUGUCCCAUUUCUUGUAACAAAUCAUGUAUAUGUAAACUAUCAACUUCCAACUUGGCAUACGAGUGCCAAUUUGGUUUUACUUGUAUGAGAGCUUUAUCUAAAACGACUUCUAUCCCACUUUCUGCAAAGAACUCACAAGCUUCCAACAAAUCUAUUAUAAAUAUUUUAUGCUCUCCUCUCAAAAAGCAUGCAAUAUCUAAAAAUAUGGCCUGUUGAAAAAAAUCUAAGUCAUCAUAACUGAAUUUUAACACGAUAUAAAUUUUCCUAUUUGGAAUCUUUUCGAGCUUUUUCAAUUCAUUUUCCCAUGCCUCUUUGCCUCUUGAGCGGAGAUUUACCCCUAAAACUUUUAAAGCCAGAGGAUUGCCUUUGCAAUAGGCAAUUACACUUUCUGAUAGAUCUUCAUAUCCAAUUUUAGGCUGUUUUCCUCCGAAGGCAUUCAAACUGAAUAGCUGAAGAGAAUCAUGAUUGUUCAAUUACAUGACCUCAUAUAUCUCACAUUUACUGAACUGACUAAAUAUGUGCUUAUCUCUAGUUGUCAUAAUGACCCUACUACCCGGUCCCAGCCCAUCAAUUUUUAGGAUAAGAUCUUCUAUUUGCUCUAAGGUUUCUAUGCCAUCUAACACAAUUAAAACUUUAAUUUUACGUGAAAUCCUUCUCUUGGAUAAAGUGGCUUCUAUGUAGGAUGCAUCAGGAUGAAUAUUUUCCUCCUCUAACAAUGAGGAUAAAAGUUUAUUGUAUACAACAUUAUGUCCAUACCUGUUUGAUUCAUCCAUUACAUUGAGAAAGCAACAACCUUCAAAUUGAGAAUAAAUUAUAGCAUAUGAAGCCCUAGCAAGAGUGGUCUUUCCUAUGCCACCCAUGCCCCAUAUUCCAAGGACUCUAACAUCAUUUGAGCCAAUUUUCAGUAUUGACUCAAUUUGGUCAUAAUUUUUCUCAACUCCAACAAGCCCCUUAAUUUCACAUGGGUAACUAAGAUUCAGUUUCCGCAAAACAUAUUUAACAAUGUCCUUAAUGAAGUCCGAUUCGAUCCUAGAAUAUGAAAGAGAGGAAGAAGAUUUUACAAGUCUAACAAAUACAAUAGUAGAAAAGUACAUCUAUAUGAUUAGUAUACAAAAUUUAUAGUCAAUAAGGUGACAGUGGCUUAGUAGAGCAAGAAACAAACAAAAAUUAGAUUUGGGGAAACAAAAUACCAAAGACACAAGGUAAUAAAUGUAUAUUUUCUAUGACUUUGGUAGUUUUCAGAAGGUUGUGUCAACUAUUACUUUGGCCUGUUUAUUUUCAAAAAUUAUUUUUAGUGUUUGUUUUCUAAAAUUUAUGUUCAUUUCCAAUUAAGAAAAUGGAGAUGAAAGACUCAUGUAGUAAAUAGCUGUGCUAUAUUAGAAAACAAAACAUGUAAAUGAUAUGAAAUAGUUUAUUUAUUUUACUUCGAAUUUUUUCGUUUUGUUUACCUGUAAUUUUGAGAGUCCCAACCAACUAAACUAGCUGCCUCAGUGAGUGCAUCUUUCCAUUCCUGUAACUUGUCAUUAUUGCUCUUCAAAUCUCGCUUAUGUUUUGCGAAGGCUUGCUUGUAACUCCCAGUCUGCUUCCUCACAUGUGAUGGAUCUAUGUUGUAAAAAACAGGUAUCACAAUCUGUACCAUAUAUUUCUUGCAUUCAAGAAUCUUUUUGAGCUCAUUCAAGCACCAUUUUGAGGAAGCAUAGUUUUCUGAGAAGAUGACAAUAGACACAUGUGACUCCUCAAUGGCUCUGAUGAGUGCUGGCGAUAUCUUAUCUCCUUUUUGAAGCUCAUUGUUGUCUAUAAAGGUUUCAACUUUCUUUCGGCUCAGAGCAUCAUAAAGAUGGCAUGUGAAGUUUCUGCGGGUAUCCUCACCUCGAAAGCUAAGAAAAACGUCAUAUUUUUUCACAGAUGCCACAGAAGAAGAAAAAACACUGUUUGUUUGCUUCCUAGCCAUUAUGAAUUCCAAGCGCUGCGCUAAUCACAAUGCUACACUCAAACAUAAAAAAUAUUUGAUGUUUAAAUUUGUUCUCGGUUACUAUUUGUACUGGCACUCGUGAUAGUGUUACAUAUUGAGAUUUAUAAAUCAGAUUGACAUCAGAUCAGGCAGUUCAAAGUCCACAUAUUGCUCAUAUAUCGACCUAGGUAAUGUGUAUUUUUUGAUCUAGGAAAGCUAUAGAAUAUGGCAAUUCCACGGGCCAGAUUAAUUAUUACUUCACAUUCAUAGGCUAUUUAAGUCUAGUUUUAUGUAUGGACUCCAAUCAUGUUUAACCUUGUUGCUUGAAUUGAAUUCUAGGUUUUAUCAGGGUUUCUCUUCAUUAGCCUUUUAAACAUUGAGUAGUAAUUAACAAAUAUGAAGACUAACUUAGCAUUCAUUCUUCAGAACCAAUUUGAAAGACUAAUUUGAAAUAUUUGCCAAUAUUGAUUUCAAAUUCAAGGAUAAAAUUAUGAAUAAACUACAAUUAGAGAAACUAACUAGUUAAAUUAUAAUUGACGGAAAAUAGAUCAUACCAAAGUCAGAAUCCAGCAAUAAUUGAGGAGGAAAAGAAUGUACAAUGACAGUCACAAUCCCAGCAGGGCAAUUAGCUUCUACCGGAAUCAAUAAAUAGCUUCUACCGGAAUCAAAAGCAGGCCUAACCAAAUAAUUCCAAUAAUUUAGAUGAAUGUCUUUAGACACCAAUUUUUUCAUUUUUAAGUGUUUAGGUACAACAGUUCAUAAUGCUUUGGUCGUGAUUUUAUAUGGAUUGAUCAAAAUUAAAAUAUAAAAUAACAUGUGGAUUUCAUGGUUUCCCUUCAUAGAAGUUUCGAUUCCAAUGCGUAGUCAGAUCAGAUGCAUAAAUGUGCAAGACGCCGGCUGAUUAAAAUAUGGCUACAAGAGGAUAUAUAUUUAGAGAGAAUUCAAAUCCUUCUAAGUAAAUUUUAUUGUUUGGAUGAUUAAUUUAGAGAAUUUUUUAAUUUAAUGAAAUUUUAUAAAGUAUUUUGUUCAAGUUAAAUUGAGUGAAUUUCAAAUGACAAAUAAGAUCUAGGAAUUUCAAAUUUCAAGUAUCAUUGUAACAUACAUUUUACUUUGAAAACCUGGUUACUUUUUCUUAUCUAGUUAAAAUAAAUAAAUUUCAAGUAUUGUAAGUGCUGGGUUGAAAGAGAUGUGGUUUGAUCAUUAUGUAGGAUAAAAAAAAUAAAAAAAUAAAAAAAUAAAAUAAAAAAAUCAUGAAUAAAUGUUACUCACUCCAUCUCAAAAUAUAUAAUUUGCUGAGUUUCUGCCUAAUUUCAAUACAUGAUAAUUAGUCUAACAGAUAACUUAGUCUGCAUGAUGCCAAGUUGAUUUCCAAAUUUGGCAUACGGCAUAAAAUACCUUACCUUCCCCAGUCAGUUUGGCAAAGUGGUAAGUUCUUAUUGGUUGUCAGUGUGAAAGAAAUUUACACCGACAGUGCAUGCCCCUAACUCUAUUGAUAAAUGGUAUUUUACAAUGAUCUGAGUAUAGUUUUGACAGUUGACAUCAUUGGAAUGGGAAAUUUUUAGUUGACAAUGCCAAAUACAGUAAGAACUGUAAACAAUAGAACCAACAUUAUAGACUGUUAUUUUGUGGGAAACACCAAUAUCUUAGACCUGUAUCAUUUAAACAGGAAAACCCAUUUACAGAACCAUUGUUCUUCUUAUGUUUCUUUCAUAUGACUCAACCAUGAAAAUCGAGCAGCUACUGCAGAAAGGGGAAAGAGAAACGGGAAUGAAAAUUCUUUUGGCGGUAAAGCGUAUUAUGCUUGGAGAAAGUGGCGCUUCAACCAUUAUGAUCAAGAACAUGAAACCACAAGGGAAUAGGGAUCCAUACACAAAUUGAUUAAUAUACCAACAAGUUCAGCACAAAAAAACUGAAUAAAAUUAGGAAUAUUUCUGAAAUGGUAUAAGUAACAAGCAACGUAUCACAAGAUUUUACAUGAAAAACAGGAGAAAGAGAUCACAACAUUUCUGACUUGUAUUAUUCUUUUGACCCUCUUAGCAAGUGCCUCAAAAAAAGACCUGUCCAGGAAUCAUGAGAAUUUUAAAACAAUUAUUCAUUUGAAGGAUUAAACUCUUUCUAUAUCAAAAUAAACUAAUAUGGAAUUUAUAAUUAGAAAGUAGAUGAGAAGAUUCAUACCGAUUGAACAGCAAGGAUGUUUCUGGUCAUCUUCAUUUUCAAUGUUGGAGCUUAUGACUUCACCUCCAAUUGCUGAAGGCUGUAACUCAUCAUUAUAAUUUUCCUGGCCAUCUUCAAUUUCAUUGUUAGACCAAUAAGACCUGUCAGAAUAUUGAUUACUGAAUUUUAAUUUACCAAUUUCCCUACCAGCCAGAUCCGACUUAUGUUCUAAGUUAUAUACAGGUAAGAUCCCACACCCUUUGAUCCCCUCCGUUGACCACCCCAAUUCUACGUUAUGUAUGAAUUGAAAUGAUAGUUUACAAUCAUUACUUCCAAAUUUUUCUCUUUUGUAACAAUACCAACAUAACAAUACAUGAUCUGAAAUUAAUCUCACAAUAUAAAGGGCAAAACAAAUAAUACACCUGUCGACUUCUUUGCCGUGUUCUAAGAUGAUACAAUGCAGGGGGUGACUCUGAAAAAGGAAGCCCUCAGAAAGAAUGGUGCAGAAUAUGAAACCAGACAGGUUAUAUUUUGGAAUAGGAGGAAUGGUUAUUGAAGCCUUCAUUGUUUGAAAAUCAAACUUGCAAGGAACUUGUGCUCCUGGCCAGAAAAGGUAAUUGGCAUCUUUAUUUACAUGAAAAGGGUCUUUAGAGAAAAUUUGUACCAUGUUCUCAAGAAAUGACCGUUGAGUGGAGUCUGUAUCCAGAUAAGUGCAAUUAAUGCCACUCAAAGUUAUUAGGGAUGACGGAAGUUCUGUUAGAGACACAAGUUUCCUGCAACCAUCUAAAUCAAGCCAUUUUAGCAUUGAAUGGUUUCGGAUAUUCUCAGGGAGACAUUCCAAGUUGCAACACUCUUGUAAUGUUAGCCCUUUUAAAGAUUGUAUGCCAUCAAGGAUGGACCACAGACUUAAUGCAUUCAUUUCUGUGCACCCUGAAAGGUCUAGUUCUGUAACAGACCCAAGUCCAUGAUCAUCUGAUAACUUAUUCCCAACAAUGUUAAGCUUGUUACACUUGGAUAGGCCAAGCGAAGUAAGUUUUCUAUUACGCCAAAUCGAUGAAGACAAUUCACGUAUAGCAGUGCCACCUAAGGUCAACUCUGUCAUUUCAUCCGAUGUCACUGAAAAUUCUGUGAGAGAAUAACAACCAUCAAGUAAGAGUUCACGAAGAGAUUUUGAAUGAAUGUUGGUUUUAAGGCUUUCAAUCUUUUUGCAACCUCGUAAAUCUAGAUAUCUAAGAUCAGGGAGAGAAAAGAUAGAAGAAUGGAGCUGACCCAGGCUUUCACAUUGAAAAAGAUAUACUCUAUGAAGAUUUGUAGCCUUAGAUAAGUCUGGGAUCUCAAUCAGAUUUUUGGAGGAUUCAAGCCAAAGUAUGUUUAGAUUCACAAGAUUCUGUAACAAGAAAUAAAAACACCAUUUAAAUUCAUAAAUAGAGAAACUAAACCUAAUUAAGCAUAAAUAGAGACUUUUUAAGAAUGAGCAUUAGACUUCCUCUCAUACUUCAAAAAAUUAACAAGUAUAUCCAAACACAUUUGUACCUGAACUCCAUCCCAUAGCUUUUUAAGCUUGCUAUGACUCAAGUGAAGCUCUAUGAGCAUUUCAGCACAAAAGGUUGAUGGCAAAAACUCAAGACAGUAUCCUUCCCAUCGAAGAUACCUCAAUUUAUCAGAAAUCCACUCAAGACCAUCGGGAAAGUACACAUUGCA